rnacentral:rRNA from 1 species
GGACGGCGUAAAGCUGUCGCUAAAGGAUGGACCUGCGAUGCAUUAGCUAGUUGGUAAGGUAACGGCUUUACCAAGGCGAUGAUGCAUAGCCCGAGUUGAGAGACUGAUCGGCCACAUUGGGACUGAGACACGGCCCAAACUCCUACGGGAGGCAGCAGUAGGGAAUCUUCCACAAUGGACGAAAGUCUGAUGGAGCAACGCCGCGUGAGUGAAGAAGGGUUUCGGCUCGUAAAGCUCUGUUGUUGGUGAAGAAGGACAGGGGGUAGUAACUGACCUUUGUUUGACGGUAAUCAAUUAGAAAGUCACGGCUAACUACGUGCCAGCAGCCGCGGUAAU